AUAUAUAUAUAUACACACACACACACACACACACACACACACAUAUACCGGGGUGUGUGUGUGUGUGUAUGUAUAUGUAUAUAU